rnacentral:rRNA from 1 species
GACGAACGCUGGCGGCGUGCUUAACACAUGCAAGUCGAGCGGAAAGGCCACUUCGGUGGUACUCGAGCGGCGAACGGGUGUGUAACACGUGAGUAAUCUGCCCCUCACUUUGGGAUAGCCACCGGAAACGGUGAUUAAUACCGGAUAUGACCAUAUGUCGCAUGGCGUGUGGUGGAAAGUUUUUCGGUGAGGGAUGUGCUCGCGGCCUAUCAGCUUGAUGGUGAGGUAAUGGCUCACCAUGGCUUCGACGGGUAGCCGGCCUGAGAGGGUGACCGGUCACACUGGGACUGAGACACGGCCCAGACUCCUACGGGAGGCAGCAGUGGGGAAUAUUGGACAAUGGGCGGAAGCCUGAUCCAGCAACGCCGCGUGAGGGAUGACGGCCUUCGGGUUGUAAACCUCUUUCAGUACCGACGAAGCGCAAGUGACGGUAGGUACAGAAGAAGCACCGGCCAACUACGUG